rnacentral:misc_RNA from 1 species
GCCAACUAUCAAGUUAAAAAGGAAGUCAUCGGGAAGGUAUAUGCUCAGCAUCAUACUAGGGAUUUGCUUGGACAUUUGGACAUGGGCAAUUUCUCUCCAGGUUUAGAGUUUACACCAAUAAUCCACCCUCGGGCCAACAUGGACAUCUGUCAAGACAAAAUGUAUCGUUUCUAACUAAAUAUGACAUUAAUAAGAAAAAUGUACAAGCUUGGCUUUAGCUUCAAUUGAGCCUUAACGGGAGCACAACCUUCACUUCCCCUUUGCUUGAUGACAUUACCAGCUUAUGGUGAAGCUCG